rnacentral:rRNA from 1 species
GACGAACGCUGGCGGCGUGCUUAACACAUGCAAGUCGAACGGAAAGGCCCUGCUUUUGUGGGGUGCUCGAGUGGCGAACGGGUGAGUAACACGUGAGUAACCUGCCCUUGACUUUGGGAUAACUUCAGGAAACUGGGGCUAAUACCGGAUAGGAGCUCCUGCUUCAUGGGGGGGGUUGGAAAGUUUCGGCGAUUGGGGAUGGACUCGCGGCUUAUCAGCUUGUUGGUGGGGUAGUGGCUUACCAAGGCUUUGACGGGUAGCCGGCCUGCGAGGGUGACCGGCCACAUUGGGACUGAGAUACCGCCCAGACUCCUACGGGAGGCAGCAGUGGGGAAUAUUGCACAAUGGGCGGAAGCCUGAUGCAGCAACGCCGCGUGCGGGAUGACGGCCUUCGGGUUGUAAACCGCUUUCGCCUGUGACGAAGCGUGAGUGACGGUAAUGGGUAAAGAAGCACCGGCUAACUACGUG